rnacentral:rRNA from 1 species
UACGGGGGGAGCAAGCGUUGUUCGGAUUUACUGGGCGUAAAGGGCGCGUAGGCGGCCCCCGCAAGUCGGUUGUGAAAUCUCUGGGCUUAACCCAGAAAGGUCAACCGAUACUGCGGGGCUAGAGUGCAGAAGGGGCAACUGGAAUUCUCGGUGUAGCGGUGAAAUGCGUAGAUAUCGAGAGGAACACCUGCGGCGAAGGCGGGUUGCUGGGCUGACACUGACGCUGAAGCGCGAAAGCUAGGGGAGCGAACGGG